CUUUGACCAGGGCGCAUGUGUGGAAUGUCAGGAACGCCCACUAUUAGAUAACACGUGUAAGAGAUACAUUUUAGUUUAAUAAUUGGAUGUAAUAGUUGUAUCCUCUGUAUACAUAUGGAAUACGUCAUUUGUGGUAUAUAUUCUUUGUUCUCUUGUAAACGUUUGCUCAGUUGGGUAUUCCAAGACUAUUGUCUGACUGAGACAUUUGCAGCUGCAAAUAAAUCAAUGUUGCUUCAUGGAAUCCCUCUCCAUUCUCUUAUGUGCUUCUCAAAUAGGAGCUGCAACAAUGUCUCUCAGUGCCCCCAUGUGUCAGUGUCCCCGGGUCUCUCAGUAUCCCCUAGUAUCCUAGUGACACGGGACACACUAAGACAUGGGGACACUGACACUGUGAUACAUGGGGACACUGAUGCCAGGCUGGCCUUCCAAUUCUU